rnacentral:lncRNA from 1 species
GAGGUGACCCCUAAGCAUACUGAACUGUUACACUUUGAGGAAUAAGGCAGACAAAAGGGCAUAGGUCUAUGGGACAGGGGCGUUGUUGUGUCAUCAACACUUGGUGGCAUAAUAGAACUACAUUCAGAUGAUGAUAUUUCUGAUUACUGUAAUAGAAAUAUUACACUUGGUGCUUGAGUUAGUGACAUUGGUUUAGUUGUCCGUAUGAUUGACAGUAUUGCUGGGUCAACACCAGAUUAGGCACUUCUUUAAAAAUGGUUGGAGUUCAGAGCAUGUGCUUUUGCUUACAAUUACUAACUGGAGUACAUCAAUUCUGCGUACUACUCCAUGUUAA